UGAAACUUUCGGCUAGUUCAUGGUGUAUC
rnacentral:piRNA from 1 species